rnacentral:tRNA from 1 species
GUGGUAGGGGCUCAGUGGUAGAGUGCUUGCCUUGCAUGCAUGAAGCCCUGGGUUCGAUUCCUCAGCACCACA